CAAUUUAAACAACGAAGAGUUUGAUCCUGGCUCAGGAUGAACGCUAGCGACAGGCUUAACACAUGCAAGUCGAGGGGCAGCACAGGUAGCAAUACCGGGUGGCGACCGGCGCACGGGUGAGUAACGCGUAUGCAACUUACCUAUCAGAGGGGGAUAACCCGGCGAAAGUCGGACUAAUACCGCAUGAAGCAGGGGCCCCGCAUGGGGAUAUUUGCUAAAGAUUCAUCGCUGAUAGAUAGGCAUGCGUUCCAUUAGGCAGUUGGCGGGGUAACGGCCCACCAAACCGACGAUGGAUAGGGGUUCUGAGAGGAAGGUCCCCCACAUUGGUACUGAGACACGGACCAAACUCCUACGGGAGGCAGCAGUGAGGAAUAUUGGUCAAUGGGCGUAAGCCUGAACCAGCCAAGUCGCGUGAGGGAUGAAGGUUCUAUGGAUCGUAAACCUCUUUUAUAAGGGAAUAAAGUGCGGGACGUGUCCCGUUUUGUAUGUACCUUAUGAAUAAGGAUCGGCUAACUCCGUGCCAGCAGCCGCGGUAAUACGGAGGAUCC
rnacentral:rRNA from 1 species